rnacentral:lncRNA from 1 species
GUAGUAGUGAGGCUAGAAGCACAGGAGGUUGGGAAGAGGGAUAAGUUCAAGUAUCUCGGGUCCGUGAUCCAGAGUAGCGGUGAGAUUGACGAGGAUGUCUCGCACCGUAUUGGGGCGGGAUGGAUGAAGUGGAAACUCGCAUCGGGGGUGCUGUGUGAUAAGAAGGUGCCGCCCAAGCUUAAAGGCAAAUUCUAUAGGGUGGUAGUCCGUCCGGCCUUGCUGUAUGGAGCGGAGUGUUGGCCAGUUAAGAAAUCCCACAUUCAAAGAAUGAAGGUGGCAGAAAUGCGGAUGUUGCGCUGGAUGUGUGGACUGACCCGAGGGGAUAGAGUUCGGAAUGAGACUAUCCGGGAGAAGGUUGGUGUGACUUCAGUGGAGUGUAAGAUGCGGGAAGCACGAUUGAGAUGGUUCGGACACGUGAAGAGGAGGGGCAUGGAUGCCCCGGUCCGUAGGUGUGAGAGGCUAGCGUUGGAUGGUUUUAGACGGGGUAGGGGUAGACCGAAGAAGUACUGGGGUGAGGUGAUUAGGCGGGACAUGGAACAGUUACAGCUCACCGAGGACAUGACCCUAGAUAGGAAGGUCUGGAAGACGCGAAUUACGGCAGAGGAUUAGGGCCAGUGCGGGUCGCUAGUGCAGGGAAUUAAUUGGUGGGGGUGUAUUCCUGUUAUGAUUCCGUAUUCAAUGUUCCGUGUUCCGUGUUCCAUGUUUAUUACGAAUAUGUGUGCUUUCCUCUGCCCGUAUUCAAUGUUCCGUGUUCCGUGUUCCAAGUUUAUUACGAACAUGUGUGCUUUCCUCUGCUUUAUAUUCCUGCAUUCAUGCUUUACUCUGUUUUAUAUUCCUUAUGGGUGCCGUAUCUAUGGUAUGUCAUCUGCUUCUGUGCUGUACUAUGUGUUUGUGUGAUAUCUCGUUACUUGAGCCGGGGGUCUUUCGGAAACAGCCUUUCUACCUCAUCAGAGGUAGAGGUAUGGACUGCGUACAUCUUACCCCCCCCAGACCCCACUAAGUGGGAAUACACUGGGUUUGUUGUUGUUGUUGUUGUUGUACCAUACUAAACUAUCACCAUCUAUCUAUCUAAACAGACCUCAAAUAUCAAUUACUCCCUCUUCCUACCUGAAAGAUUGUAAUCUAAGGCUAAGUUGCUCGGACUCGGGUGCGGGUAUUCGAGACGGUUGUGGAUCCGAGAGUCGGAUUCGUCAAAAUAUAAAUUUUAAGAUUCGAGGAUGCGAAUCCGAGUGUGGAUACGGGUGCGGGGAUUUGGAUAAAAAAAUUAAAUAUUAUAAAUAUAGAGUUAUGAAGAUAUUUACCAAAAAAUAAAAAUAAGUAUAAUUAAGAAUUUAAACUAAUGCUGUCAAAGUAAGAGUACACUGAUCAACACAGUGCUGUCAAAGUAAUCACGUUUUUUAGUUUUUACUUUUUAUUAAAACAUAUACAACAACAACAAACCCAGUGUAUUCCCACUUAGUGGGGUCUGGGGGGGUAAGAUGUACGCAGUCCAUACCUCUACCUCUGAUGAAGUAGAAAGGCUGUUUCCGAAAGACCCCCGGCUCAAGUUACGAGAUAUCAAACAAACACAUAGUACAGCACAGAAGCAGAUGACAUAACAUAGAUACUGCAGCCAUAAGGAAUAUAAAACAGAGUAAAGCAGGGAUGCAGGAAUAUAAAGCAGAGGAAAGCACACAGAUUCGUAACAAACAUGGAACACGGAACACGGAACAAAACAUUGAAUACGGAAUCAUACCAGGAAUACACCCCCACCAAUUACCUCCCUACAUUAGCGACCCGAACAGGCCCUACUCCUCUGCCGUAAUUCGCGUCUUCCAGACCUUCCUAUCUAGGGUCAUGUCCUCGGUAAGCUGUAACUGUUCCAUGUCCCGCCUAAUCACCUCACCCCAGUACUUCUUCG